rnacentral:rRNA from 1 species
UACGAAGGGGGCUAGCGUUGUUCGGAUUUACUGGGCGUAAAGCGCGUGUAGGCGGACUUGUAAGUUGGGGGUGAAAUCCCGAGGCUCAACCUCGGAACUGCCUCCAAAACUACAAGUCUGGAGCAAGAUAGAGGCAAGUGGAAUUGUGAGUGUAGAGGUGAAAUUCGUAGAUAUUCGCAGGAACACCAGUGGCGAAGGCGACUUGCUGGAUCUUUGCUGACGCUGAGACGCGAAAGCGUGGGGAGCAAACAGG